UACGAGUGCUCCAAGCGUUAUCCGGAAUUAUUGGGCGUAAAGGGUGUGUAGGUGGUUAUGUUAGUCUUUUGUUAAAUUCUUCGGCUUAACCGGGGGCAUGCAGAAGAAACGGCAUAACUAGAGGAUGCGAGAGGUGAACGGAACUCAUGGAGUAGGGGUGAAAUCCGUUGAUAUCAUGGGGAACACCAAAUGCGAAGGCAGUUCACUGGCGCACUCCUGACACUGAAACACGAAAGCGUAGGUAGCGAAUGGG
rnacentral:rRNA from 1 species